rnacentral:rRNA from 1 species
AAGGAUUGAACGCUGGCGGCAGGCCUAACACAUGCAAGUCGAGCGGUAGAGAGAAGCUUGCUUCUCUUGAGAGCGGCGGACGGGUGAGUAAUGCCUAGGAAUCUGCCUGGUAGUGGGGGAUAACGUUCGGAAACGGACGCUAAUACCGCAUACGUCCUACGGGAGAAAGCAGGGGACCUUCGGGCCUUGCGCUAUCAGAUGAGCCUAGGUCGGAUUAGCUAGUUGGUGAGGUAAUGGCUCACCAAGGCGACGAUCCGUAACUGGUCUGAGAGGAUGAUCAGUCACACUGGAACUGAGACACGGUCCAGACUCCUACGGGAGGCAGCAGUGGGGAAUAUUGGACAAUGGGCGAAAGCCUGAUCCAGCCAUGCCGCGUGUGUGAAGAAGGUCUUCGGAUUGUAAAGCACUUUAAGUUGGGAGGAAGGGCAGUUACCUAAUACGUGAUUGGGGCCUUUUGACGUUACCGACAGAAUAAGCACCGGCUAACUCUGUGCCAGCAGCCGCGGUAAUACAGAGGGUGCAAGCGUUAAUCGGAAUUACUGGGCGUAAAGCGCGCGUAGGUGGUUAGUUAAGUUGGAUGUGAAAUCCCCGGGCUCAACCUGGGAACUGCAUUCAAAACUGACUGACUAGAGUAUGGUAGAGGGUGGUGGAAUUUCCUGUGUAGCGGUGAAAUGCGUAGAUAUAGGAAGGAACACCAGUGGCGAAGGCGACCACCUGGACUGAUACUGACACUGAGGUGCGAAAGCGUGGGGAGCUAGCAAACAGGAUUAGAUACCCUGGUAGUCCACGCCGUAAACGAUGUCAACUAGCCGUUGGGAGCCUUGAGCUCUUAGUGGCGCAGCUAACGCAUUAAGUUGACCGCCUGGGGAGUACGGCCGCAAGGUUAAUCAAAUGAAUUGACGGGGGCCCGCACAAGCGGUGGAGCAUGUGGUUUAAUUCGAAGCAACGCGAAGAACCUUACCAGGCCUUGACAUCCAAUGAACUUUCUAGAGAUAGAUUGGUGCCUUCGGGAACAUUGAGACAGGUGCUGCAUGGCUGUCGUCAGCUCGUGUCGGCGUGAGAUGUUGGGUUAAGUCCCGUAACGAGCGCAACCCUUGUCCUUAGUUACCAGCACGUAAUGGUGGGCACUCUAAGGAGACUGCCGGUGACAAACCGGAGGAAGGUGGGGAUGACGUCAAGUCAUCAUGGCCCUUACGGCCUGGGCUACACACGUGCUACAAUGGUCGGUACAGAGGGUUGCCAAGCCGCGAGGUGGAGCUAAUCCCAGAAAACCGAUCGUAGUCCGGAUCGCAGUCUGCAACUCGACUGCGUGAAGUCGGAAUCGCUAGUAAUCGCGAAUCAGAAUGUCGCGGUGAAUACGUUCCCGGGCCAAGCUUGUACACACCGCCCGUCACACCAUGGGAGUGGGUUGCACCAGAAGUAGCUAGUCUAACCUUCGGGGGGACGGUUACCACGGUGUGAUUCAUGACUGGGGUGAAA